GUGACAUUGUUCAACGGCCGCGGUAUCCUAACCGUGCGAAGGUAGCGUAAUCACUUGUCCUUUAAAUGAAGACUAGUAUGAAUGGCCCCACGAAAGCUAUACUGUCUCCUUUUUCUAAUCAGUUAAACUAAUCUCCCCGUGAAGAAGCGGGGAUAAACAUAUAAGACGAGAAGACCCUAUGGAGCUUCAAACAACUGAAACACUUGUAUAUCCUCCCUCACCUGCCAACAUUUAACCUCACAUUUUGUUUCUAGUUUUAGGUUGGGGUGACCACGGAGAAAAAACUAACCUCCACGACGAAAGAGACAUCUCUAAACAAAAAGCUACAUCUUUAUGUAUUAACACAUUAACCUUUAUUGACCCAAUAAAUUGAUCAACGAAC
rnacentral:rRNA from 1 species